ensembl:lncRNA
AUCCAACCUUGUACCAGUGUACAAGUGUGAAGCCAUAGAGACGAGCUGGACAUUCAGGCUCUAUCGACUUUCUUUCCCUGUUGCAUGGGUGGACAUUUUCCUGCUCUCGGAGAGCGCCAACUAAGAAUAAAGAAGACUUUUGGAGCUGCUAGAUCACAGGGAGAAGACGUCCUUGGGAAACUCUGCUGGACAGACCUGGCCCGAGGGCGCCCUCAGGAACAACAAAGCCUCAAAAUUUCAUUCAACCGAAGUCCAUCGUCAAACUGCUUAUCCUGCACACGGGGUUGCUGGAGUCUAUCCCAGCCAACUUCGGGCGAGAGACGUGGUGCACCCUGGACUGGUCACCAACCAACCAGGGCAGACUUACCACCAUUCACACAUCUACGGGCCAUUUAGAGUCCCUAAAUCAACCUGAUCCUCAGAGCGUGUCGGAGAGAACCCACGCAGACACGGGGAGAACAGAAAGGCCACUGGGCGGAGUCGAACCCGGGACCUUCUUGCUGUGAGGCGACAGUGAUACCCACCACACCACCGUGCCGCCCUCAUUCAACCAAAGUGGAUGAGUAAAAUAAAACUAAGGUUUCUCUGAUUAGUCAAAGAGUUGGUGCCACAUCCCACUUGAGCCUUUGGAGUGAGCUGGUGAGGUCUGAAUGGCAGACCUUUCCAGAACACAUGAUCACAACGCUGCUUUGCCUGAUGGAACCAGCAAGACAUCAUCAUGAAGUGUAUGAGCCUUCAAAACGUUCAGCAACAACGAAACACAAGUUGAUGAAUAUUGGCAUUCAGUUAAAAAGGCAUCCGCUCACAGGACAAACAAAAACUAUAUAUUUCCCCCAUAAAUCAGCACAACAUAAUUUAUUUAUGAGAUCCAAUGCC